rnacentral:rRNA from 1 species
GAUUAAGUUAUUAAGGGCGCACGGUGGAUGCCUUGGCACUAGAAGCCGAUGAAGGACGUUACUAACGACGAUAUGCUUUGGGGAGCUGUAAGUAAGCUUUGAUCCAGAGAUUUCCGAAUGGGGAAACCCAGCAUGAGUUAUGUCAUGUUAUCGAUAUGUGAAUACAUAGCAUAUCAGAAGGCACACCCGGAGAACUGAAACAUCUUAGUACCCGGAGGAAGAGAAAGAAAAUUCGAUUCCCUUAGUAGCGGCGAGCGAAACGGGAAGAGCCCAAACCAACAAGCUUGCUUGUUGGGGUUGUAGGACACUCUGUACGGAGUUACAAAGGACGACAUUAGACGAAUCAUCUGGAAAGAUGAAUCAAAGAAGGUAAUAAUCCUGUAGUCGAAAAUGUUGUCUCUCUUGAG